CAGGCACCCCAAGGGAGAGGAAGAAGAGUCCAGGAGGGAGGAAGGCUCUGAGCCUCGUGCCACCUAACCGUGCUGUGGAGCCAGACCAGGAUUUACAGGUCUCUUUGCCUAUCGGUGAGGCUGUGUGCGCUCUGGAAAGUGGCUGCUCCUGAGGUGCAUGGAAAUAGAGACACAGAGCCUGAACUGGGCAGACCGGGGGGGAAGAGCCCUUUCUGGCACUUCCAACAGUGCCCAUCUCCCAGCCUCCCAGCCUCAGAACACAUCGAGAAUCCCUCCAAAACCCACCUCCAUGGUGCAGCUCAGGGUGAACCGAGGCCAAAUUAAAUC